UGUAGGAUGGUUCACCAUAUCGUUUACUGUAAAGCCUCUCAGACACAUGUUUGAAUUGACUUCUCUUCUGUUGUUAUAUUUUGUGACCCACAACAUCCCUCGUGACCAUAUAUACUGUGAUUAUACAACAAACCGUUCCGUGAUCAAAAUGACACGUGUGACACAGAUGUAAGAAUGGAGGUGUCUGAUAGACAAACUAUAGGAAGCAUGCUAGCAUGUUGUGUGUGGACAAGCUGCAGUUUUCUUCUUCUGACUGGUGCAUGGAUGACAGAAGCUGAUGCAUUUGGAGUAGAACUGAAAUGUCCGGACUUGUUUCACAAUGGAGUGAACACUGUUAUCUGCAGAAUCAAUAAAACAGCAAUCAGAGAAGCACAUUGUUUCUCGAAGUACAAAUCGGUAACUUUUGGCUUGACCAUAAAUGACCGCACAACAGUUGCAUGUCUGUCUCAAGAUUAUGAUCCAGAUGCACAGUGCACUCCUCAGUAUGACCCAGGGAGUUGCAGGUGUCAGGAGUCAAAUGGAGAGAUUCUCACCUAUAAAUUUUUUUUCCUGGCUAACAGGACACUGGAUGAAGGGGGACAACUUGAGUGUAAACUCUGCAUUUUGCCAGAAAAGCCUCUGCCUAUUAAUAUUAGUAGGGGCUGUCGAAAUAUCAGCUUUGAUCCACCAGAAGAAGUGUCAUGUGAGGCAGUCUAUACCUUAGGGUCUGUCAACGUGUCCUGUGUCAUUGGCAAAGUCUAUUCCUCGCGUAGAAUUUACAAGUGUCGUCUGUUCCAACGUAAGAAUGAAUCAUCUACCAGCUUGCAGACUGUAGAAAUGGUGACCUCACCGACCAGUCAGAAGACCAUCAAGAGUGAAGUGAAGGUGUCGGGUUCCUGUCAGUUCAGCACAACUCUCUCUCCAGAGGAAGGAUGCUAUGAUCUUUUCGUCUCUGUCUCACCUAGCGGGCGGAACUACUCUGUGAAUUUUACAACCAGUGACUAUUGUACAACUACUGACCAGUCCAGUGUAUCGUCUCAGCAACCUGUCAUGGAGUCAGUGGAGGCAGCUGCUUUCAUAGUGCCUGCAAGUGUUUCUGGUAUCGUCGUCUUAGUCUUGAUCUUAGUCUUGAUCCUUGUCAUCAUUCGCCACGUGACAAGGAAGAAGAGAGAAGGUUAACAAUGUCCCUCCUUUUUGUCUAUUUGCUUUGUUACAAAUUAUAUUCCACACAACCUCAUUGUCUAUUGUUUCUAUGUUUGCCUGCACUUUUGUGUACUGUUGUUGUGUUGGUGCGACAUCAAUACCUGUAAUCGAUGUGUAUGUCAAACAUGGACAACCAUGUGUCGUCUUAUGUACGCCGCCUUUUACAAAGUACCUUACAUACUGAAAUAGUAUUGUGCCUGUAAAAGCAGAGACUUUGUUGUAAUCGCUGUUGUCAAAAUUGUUCAAACUUCAAAAUAGAUAUGCUUGCAUAAUCGCAAAAUGCAAAUUGGUUUGCAAGGAAGCGUCCGUCUCGGAGAAUCUCGCACGCAUGCGCAGUGGUUGCAUCAGGAGAGAAAUCUGAGUUUGAUCCCCAUCGUUGCUUACCUCUUUUGUGAAAGCUUUGUGCUAUUUUAAUUCACAAAUAGCCCACGGGUCACUAGCGAUUAUAACUUGGUAGAAGGCUCCCCAAGAACAGUUUUCACGAGAAAUACGGAACCUUGCCUGCAGUGGGCAGUAAACACAAAGAAAAAACACAUGGGACGACAAAAUUGUGGAUGACUUGAGCACGAUGGGAUUUGAUCAAAGAAAGGUGAGUGUAUGUAAAAUCAUGUAUUGAUAAUAAGUGUGAAAACAAUGUAUUAUAGGCCACUAAUCAAUUUCAAAGCUGAUGAGCAGAUAUUCCUAAGUGCAUUUGAAGAAGAUACAAGCAACUGCAGCUGAUAAACAUCACUAAGGCUGAAAAUUAAUUUCGUUUGUGUUAUCAACAUAUUGCUGGUUAUUUUGUUGAUUCUUCAUGAAAGCAUUUUUAAAUUGAGAAUUAUUGUAUUAUUUAAUUGUGUGCAGGCUGUAGCCUUGGAAAACCUGGCAUCUUUCUAAGAGAAGAAACACAGUGUCUUUAAAACAUAGCUUUUGGACAUCAUGUGUACUGGUUUUAUGUAAAAAUGUGGUCAGAUCAAAAUAUGGUACUAGCAUCACAUUCGCUUGUAAGUGCAACAAAAAUCACCUGCCACUCACAACCCUUUUCCCAGACGGUGCCACUUGGAAACCUUGUACUUGCAGCAGCAGACAUGUUCACUGCUUGCUCUCCCUACAGACUUGCCUCCAGACUAGCAAUGCCUGGUUUACUACCCCUACAUUCUAUUUACCUGUUCCCAGCAGUGGGUAAUGUUUGGAGGAGGUGUCAGGAAAGACUGUGCGGUGUAUUUUUCAGGCCGAACCGUAAAACUUGGAGGCGAUGGACGCUGUGACUCCCUUGGUCCAGGUGCAAAAUAUGACAGCUACACAUUCAUGCAUCAUCAGUUCUUUUAAGUGAGCUAGAGCAGCGGACAAUGCUAGAAGAAUUAGAAAAACAAGUGUCAUCUACAAGGCAUUGGAAUGCUGUCUCCUGGUGCUCAGACUGCAACCCUUGAGUUAUAUCAUGCUGCUGUGUGUUAGUUUACACCAAAGCUGAAUACUAUUUAUUUGUCUGGUGGAAGUUUUUUUUUAAGAUGGGAGUGUAUCUUACAAAGAUGCUUUCAUACCUCACCUUCACUGGACAUCAGUCUGAUGUGAAACGAUUUUUUAAGGAAAUCAAGAGAUGCUCAUGUGCACAAUUAUAUUCAUAGGAUCAGAAACAAAUUGAAAUGUAGCCCCCAAAAUUCAAAACGUAGUUUCAGAUCCUUGUGUGGCCGUAUUUUUUUACAUUUGAACUUCAAGCUAGAGUACCUAGAUACUAACCUUAGUACUAAAGGAAGUAUGGACUGAU
rnacentral:misc_RNA from 1 species